rnacentral:tRNA from 1 species
GCGUUUUUAGCUCAGCAGGAAGAGCGGCGGUCUUCUAAAUCGUUGGUCGGUGGUUCAAGUCCAUCAAGACGCG